UACAGAGGGGGCAAGCGUUAUUCGGAAUUAUUGGGCGUAAAGGGCGCGUAGGCGGCUUUGCAAGUGACGGGUGAAAUCCCUCGGCUUAACCGAGGAACUGCCUGUCAAACUGCAUGGCUUGAGACCGGGAGAGGUGAGUGGAAUUCCCAGUGUAGCGGUGAAAUGCGUAGAUAUGCGGAGGAACACCGAUGGCGAAGGCAAUCCCCUGGGCCUGCACUGACGCUCAUGCACGAAAGCGUGGGGAGCAAACAGG
rnacentral:rRNA from 1 species